rnacentral:rRNA from 1 species
CAGUCGCCGCGGUAAUACGAGGGGGGCAAGCGUUGUUCGGAAUUAUUGGGCGUAAAGGGCGCGUAGGCGGUUUGACAAGUCUGAUGUGAAAUCUCUGGGCUCAACCCAGAGUCUGCAUCGGAAACUGUCGAGCUUGAGUAUGGGAGAGGUGAGUGGAAUUUCCGGUGUAGCGGUGAAAUGCGUAGAUAUCGGAAGGAACACCUGUGGCGAAAGCGGCUCACUGGACCAUUACUGACGCUGAGGCGCGAAAGCUAGGGGAGCAAACAGGAUUAGAUACCCGGGUAGUCCCUGUCUCUUAUAC